rnacentral:rRNA from 1 species
GACGAACGCUGGCGGCGUGCUUAACACAUGCAAGUCGAACGGAAAGGCCCUGCUUUUGUGGGGUGCUCGAGUGGCGAACGGGUGAGUAACACGUGAGUAACCUGCCCUUGACUUUGGGAUAACUUCAGGAAACUGGGGCUAAUACCGGAUAGGAGCUCCUGCUGCAUGGUGGGGGUUGGAAAGUUUCGGCGGUUGGGGAUGGACUCGCGGCUUAUCAGCUUGUUGGUGGGGUAGUGGCUUACCAAGGCUUUGACGGGUAGCCGGCCUGAGAGGGUGACCGGCCACAUUGGUACUGAGAUACGGCCCAGACUCCUACGGGAGGCAGCAGUGGGGAAUAUUGCACAAUGGGCGGAAGCCUGAUGCAGCAACGCCGCGUGCGGGAUGCCGGCCUUCGGGUUGUAAACCGAUUUCGCCGGUGACGAAGCGUGAGUGACGGUAAUGGGUAAAGAAGCACCGGCUAACUACGUG